AUCGCUUUCUAGCAUUUUGGCGAAGAUGUAAGUGUAAUACAUUGUCCUUAUCCGUUUAACAUCGGAGAUGUUCUGUAUGUGGCAACUGUGUAUUUGAAUGUGUUUUUGGAAUUGGGAGAAAGAGUAGGAGUUUUCUCUAUCUAUUCCCCAUAUCGACUUGGCAUUGUUAGUACUUCUGAGAACCGUGCAUCUCUU